rnacentral:rRNA from 1 species
UACGGAGGUUCCAAGCGUUGUUCGGAAUUACUGGGCGUAAAGGGCGCGCAGGCUGUUAUGCGAGUCUGCUGUGAAAUGUACCGGCUCAACCGGUGCCUUGCGGCGGAUACUGCAUAGCUGGAGUACUGGAGAGGGAAGUGGAAUUCCCGGUGUAGCGGUGAAAUGCGCAGAUAUCAGGAGGAACACCGGUGGCGAAGGCGGGUCUCUGGGUAGUAACUGACGCUGAGGAGCGAAAGCAUGGGUAGCGAACAGGAUUAGAUA